rfam:Streptomyces albus strain DSM 41398, complete genome.
CUUCAGCGAGCCGAGCCAGAGCGGCUGCCCCUCCGGCCGGUUCUGGCCGUAGGUGGCGAGCAGGGCCUGCGCCUC